rnacentral:tRNA from 2 species
UCCGGGAUCGUCUAAAGGUAGGACAUAUGCCUCUGGAGCAUAGAAUUGGGGUUCGAAUCCCUGUCCCGGAA